rnacentral:tRNA from 1 species
GCGGCGGUAGUUUAAUGGUAGAAUAAGCGGCUGUGGCCCGCUUGGCGCGAGUUCGAUUCUCGCCCGCUGCC